rnacentral:rRNA from 1 species
UACGAAGGGGGCAAGCGUUGUUCGGAAUUACUGGGCGUAAAGAGCGUGUAGGCGGUUGAUUAAGUCAGGUGUGAAAGCCCUUGGCUCAACCAAGGACGUGCAUCUGAAACUGGUCUACUUGAGUACGGGAGAGGAGAGUGGAAUUCCUGGUGUAGAGGUGAAAUUCGUAGAUAUCAGGAGGAACACCGGUGGCGAAGGCGACUCUCUGGACCGAUACUGACGCUGAGACGCGAAAGCGUGGGGAGCAAACAGG